rnacentral:tRNA from 1 species
GUGGGCGUAGCUCAGUUGGUUAGAGUCCCAGAUUGUGAUUCUGGUUGUCGGGGGUUCGAGUCCCCUCGCUCACCCCA